CUCCCAAGUCACAACCAAGUUCUACCUACUGCCGCCGCCAGUUUCCAUCCCCACGCGAUUUGACCUCUGCCCUGCCAUUCUAGGGAGACUUUCGACGCCGCCGCACAUCCUGUGCUUGUCUCUCCCCGCCGCCGCCGAGUCUGCGUCGCCGUCUCUCUCUCCAUGGACGCCCAGGUUAGAUGCAUCGCUCUUUCUCUUCACCCGCACAAGCAGUCACGUCGCUCCGGCGACUGCUAUCGACGAACUCCACCUCUCCUCCGUGAAGAACCCACUUAAUUGUGCAGCCUGCGGUAUUGCUGGUUCACAUAGGGAGACAUCCACAGGUUUCCCGAAGCUGGGAUUAAAUAGUUGUUACACUGUGUUUUUAUGAAGUUCUGUUACUGUUCGAAUCUGCAAAUUAUAGCGCAAGGUACAAAACCUCCACCAGAUGUAUCCCCCUCUCACGAACUGAAACUCUCUGUUAGAUGAAUUACAGGCUGUGUUAUAACCUUCCCAUUAUAUUUGUUGCCCAUCAAUUGAUUAGAUGAUGAUGAAGUGUACCAAUCCUAGGCAAGAUUUGUCAAUUUCUCAUUGAUGUGAGAUUCUGUUCGAUGUAGAUGGACAUGCUUCACAUACUGAAUUUCCCAUGUUGUUGGUUCUACCACACCCCUCUUUAUUUUUAGAGAUCUACAAAUGUUGCCACUAAAUUUUUCUGUAUGCUGUUUCGUAUACUCAUGUAGAUCUGCACUGCGUUGACAAGAAGCUCGAAUAUCAAAGUGAAGAGAUGAUGAUCCUCCGUUGUGGAUACUGCCUGUGUUAAUGCUUCGUGGGUGAGGCCUUCGGGGUGGGAAUAACUAACAUAUAUGCAGUUCCAUUUUGGUUAUGAAUCUUCCCCAAAUUGUCUUUCUUAGCCAGUCCAUGAUAUGUUGGUUGUUUAAUAGCAGUCUAUGGGACCAUAAACUUAUCUUUAUCUGAGGACAGAAUAGAAAACUGAUCCGAGGUAGCAAACCACAGUUAUCAGUUCUAUAUAUACACACACAUGCAUAUCGAUAGACAUUGCGAAUUUCGCUUAUUGGUUUUUCCUGUUGAAAAGUGAGACUUACUAGUAAGGUUUUCUAGUUAAUCACCCAAUUAAUAUUUUAUUUUAAUUUUCUCUGCAGGGUGGCCGUUUCCGAUGAUUCUUGAAGCUAGACAACAAAAAUACCAUGGAACGCUAGAGAGUUGUUAUGAUGGAGCUCCUAUACUGAUAUCUGCAUGCAAAAGCUUAUAUGUAGAUAGACUCCAACUAGGUAGACAAAGUAUGUAGUUUCGUUAUGUAGGAUUUAAGAGAUUUUGUCAGGCCGUGUCUCUGUUUCAUUAUGUACGAUGUAAGGGAUUUUGUCCUGUUGAGUCUCAUCAUUUUUUUGUAAUUGUAAAAUACAGUUUGAUUGUAAAAUACAGUUGCUCUAAAGAAGUAAAUAUAUUUUGUACUUUUA